rnacentral:rRNA from 1 species
UAAGGCUAAAUAUGAUGACGUGACCGAUAGCACACAAGUACCGCGAGGGAAAGGUGAAAAGCAACCAUGAAAAAUGGGUUGAAACAGUAGUGAAAGCGCUACCGGGAUAAGGGCUAUCGGGUGCUGGGGCUCUUUGGGUGUGCUUUAGUGCUACCCUCGGAGACGGCCCGCGAGGGUUGAUGUUGGGGCGAUAGACGCGCUGCAGGAAUUCGGCUGCCUUCGGGCAGUGUUGUAGCCUGCGGUUGCCGAUCCUCCUGCGACCUUGUGUGAUUGCGGGUCUUGCGACCGUUAGCCGCCCGUCUUGAAACACGGACCAAGGAGUGCACCUUGCAUGCGAGUCGAAGGGAUUUGAAACCUGGAGGCGUAGCGAACGCGACGAUGGGGAAUGUCCUUGUGGCAGACACCCGCACCCGCCUUGUGCGAGGUAGAGCAUGUACGGUGCGACCCGAAAGAUGGUGAACUAUGCCCGGGUAAGGUGAAGCCAGUGGAAACGCUGGUGGAGGCCUGUAGCGAUUCUGACGUGCAAAUCGAUCGCGUAACCUGGGUAUAGGGGCGAAAGACCUAUCGAACCGUCUAAUGGCUGGUUCCCUCCGAAGUUUCCCUCAGGAUAGC